AAAAUUUAGAGUUUGAUCCUAGCUCAGGAUGAACGCUGGCAGCGUGGAUGAGGCAUAUAAGUCAAACGGAUUCAAAUCAAGUCGCAAGACUCGAUCUGAAUUAGUGGCAGACGAGGUAGUAAUACGUAGGUACAUACCCGGAAGUCUGGUAUAGCUUCGCGAAAGCGGGGGUAAUCCCAGAUGUGGUAGCAAUACCAAAGGAGCAAUUCGCUUCCGGAGUGGCCUGCGGAGUAUCAGCUAGUUGGUAGGGUAACGGCCUACCAAGGCAACGACGCUUAGGGGACCUGAGAGGGUGACCCCCACCGAUGGAACUGAGACACGGUCCAUACACCUACGGGUGGCAGUAGCCGAGAAUAUUCGACAAUGGGCGAAAGCCUGAUCGAGCGACGCCGCGUGAUGGAUGAAGUCCCU
rnacentral:rRNA from 1 species